UAGAUUUUUCUGGAUUGUAGCUUGAACCAGGUGUUCCAGUGAACUUUCCGAGCAGUUCAUACAUCAACAGGAGCCAAUCCUUCCUAGAGCUGGACAAGGGGCAUGGUGUGGAGUGGGAGGAGAGACUGGCUGUUUAUUUCACCAAUGCAGAUUUCCUCUACAGAUGCAAAUCUCCACAAAGGCAGCUUUGCAGAGCUAUUCUUGCAUGCUGGCUCCCUGAACAGGCAUCUCAAAAUAUGUCACAGGGACUCACUCUGAAUUAUUUCUUGUGCGAGAUCCAAGAACUCUUGAAACCUCUCCUGGGGUCUGGAUCGGGACACCUUUCUGGCGUCACAUCUGCCACAUUUUAGGAAACAAAGACAAGCUGGGCAUGGUGGCUCACACCUGUAAAUUCCAGCACUUUGGAAGGCCAAGGUGGGUGAAUCACACGGGGUCAGGAAUUUGAGACUAGCCUGGCCAACAUGGUGAAACACUGUCUGUACUAAAAAU
rnacentral:lncRNA from 10 species